AUUGAACGCUGGCGGCAUGCCUAACACAUGCAAGUCGAACGGCAGCAUGAUCUAGCUUGCCUCAUUGAUGGCGCGUGUCGCACGGGUGUGUAAUACAUCUGAAAAUGUCCUGUAUUGGGGGAUAACUCGUCGGAAAAUUUACUCUUAUACCAUAUGACAUGUGCGUGAAAGUGGAGGAACGCAUCGCACCUUGCUCUAGGAACGGCCGAGGUCGGAGUAGCUAUUUGGUGGGGUAAAGGGUCACCAAGGGGACGAUCAGCAUCUGGUCUGAGAGGACGAUCAGCCACACUGGAACUGAGACACGGCCCAGACUCCUACGGGAGGCAGCAGUGGGGAAUUUUGGACAAUGGGCGAAAGCCUGAUCCAGCAAUACCGCGUGGGUGAAGAAGGCCUUCGGGUUGUAAAGCACUUUUGUCCGGAAAGAAAUGCAGCUGGUUAAUACCUGGCGUUGAUGACGGUACCGGAAGAAUAAGCACCGGCUAACUACGUG
rnacentral:rRNA from 1 species